CGAAGGCAGAGUAGAGAAAUGAGGGGGUGCAGGCAUCCCCAGAGCGUUUAAUAUGAACUGAGAAAUGUUCGCGGGGCUUGUUGCUUGCUGGGGUGCAGUGGUGGGACGUGACGGUUCGCCCCCUCUCGCCCCCCCUCCUCUGUCUUCAUAGGAGACGCCAACCAACGAGCUGAGCGUCCAGGGCCCCCCCGAGGGGGACACGGACCCGUCUACGCCGCCAGCGCCCCCGACGCCUCCCCACCCCGCCACCCCCGCAGAUGGGUUUCCCAGCAACGACAGCGGCUUUGGAGGCAGUUUCGAGUGGGCGGAGGAUUUCCCCCUCCUCCCCCCGCCAGGGCCCCCCCUGUGCUUCUCCCGCUUCUCCGUCUCGCCUGCGCUGGAGACCCCGGGGCCGCCCACCCGGGCCCCCGACGCCAGGCCCGCAGGCCCUGUGGAGAACUGACCCCCCAAAGACCCGAACCCCCUGUGCCCCCAGAAGAGGGGUUGAGAAUAGAAUCUUCUGUGGACGACGGAGCCACUGCCACCACCUCAGACACCGCCUCUGGGGAGGCCCCUGAGGCUGGGCCCUCCCCCUCCCCCACCAUGUGCCAAACAGGAGGCCCUGGCCCCCUGCCCCUCAGCCCCCCGGACGGCUCCCCUGAUCCCCCCGACCCCCUCGGUGCCAAAUGAGGCAGGAAGCCCCUCCCCCUCCCCGGAGAGCCACCUUCUUGGAACUGAACUGGACUUUUUCGGGCCCGGAGCCCCUGGGCACAGCGGAGGCCCCUCCUCACCCUCUCCCACCUCAGACGGGGCCGCAGGCUUUGGGGGACCUGGACCCCCCAUCUCACGAUUCCCCUUCCCCGCCCCAGCCUGGCCCCUGGAGGGGCUUCUGGUUCAAACCUUCGCGUGGCAUUUUCACAUUAUUUAAAAAAGACAAAAACAACUUUUUGGAGGAA